rnacentral:piRNA from 1 species
UGAGCUUGAAGUUGUCCUCGGAUUCCCACU